CCUACGGGCGGCAGCAGUGGGGAAUAUUGGACAAUGGGCGAAAGCCUGAUCCAGCCAUGCCGCGUGUGUGAAGAAGGCCUUCGGGUUGUAAAGCACUUUCAGUGGGGAAGAAAGCCUUGGGGCUAAUACCCUCGAGGAAGGACAUCACCCACAGAAGAAGCACCGGCUAACUCCGUGCCAGCAGCCGCGGUAAUACGGGAGGGUGCGAGCGUUAAUCGGAAUUACUGGGCGUAAAGCGCGCGUAGGCGGUCUGAUAAGCCGGUUGUGAAAGCCCCGGGCUCAACCUGGGAACGGCAUCCGGAACUGUCAGGCUAGAGUGCAGGAGAGGAAGGUAGAAUUCCCGGUGUAGCGGUGAAAUGCGUAGAGAUCGGGAGGAAUACCAGUGGCGAAGGCGGCCUUCUGGACUGACACUGACGCUGAGGUGCGAAAGCGUGGGUAGCAAACAGGAUUAGAUACCCGAGUAGUC
rnacentral:rRNA from 1 species